rnacentral:lncRNA from 1 species
GUUUAUAACACUUUACAGUAGUUUUUAAUUGUAAUUUUUUUUUUUUUUUAAUAGAUAUUACAUAUGUGAUGCUGUAAUUGAAGCGGGUAUGUGAUUUUUCAUUUACUUUUGAAAAUAUAUAAAAGUGUUAACUUUUUUUAACAAGCAGUUUAACAAGUAUAUUAAUAAUUGUACAUAUAUAUAUGUACGCUUAAACACACAGAAAAAAAAAAAAAAAAAAAAAAAAAAAAAAAAAGGAAUACUCCGUAGAGUAAUUUUUUUGUUUACACCCGAAACGAUGACGUCCAAUUAUAUUAUUCACAUAGGAAAUGAAAUAAUAAAUAAAAGAUUAAAAUUCAAAGAAUUUUUAAAUAAGGGUGAACAAAAAAUAUUAGAACAAAAUGCUAACAUUUUUUUUUAUUUAUUAAUUAAUUUAAUAUUUGAUUAUCCAAUUAAAAAUUUCCGAUUAUCUAUUAAUAGAAAGUACAUAGAUUUUAAAAAUAAAAAAAAGAUUAACGUUGUGUUGAAUAUAACGAAAAAAUUAUUAAUACUUAAUAAUAUUAAUAUAAAAAAAAGAGCUAAUAUUGUUGAGAAUCAAAAAUGUUAUAUUACUAGUACUACUGGCAAUACUACUGCUUACCCCGCCACGAGACAAAAUGAGCCAUGUUAUUCCAAAACUAUAACUUCCAUUUCAAACUCAAUUGCACAAAAGGAAAUAAAUAUUAAAAGAUUACAUGUAUUAGCAAGUACAAUACUGGCUGAUAAUAGUACAAUACACUCAUGGAACAAUGGUACACAACAAAAACAUAACUUAAUAAUAAACGAAGAAAAUAAUGUUACAAGUUUUAAUUACUUAUUACCAUACAAUUUUAUUAAUAAUCAAAAAAAAAUACAUGAAAAAAAAAAAAAAAAACUGGAAGAUAACAAAAGUAUAUUCGAAAAUGUUGACAGUUGUUCUGUUCCAUUGGGGUAUUGUUGUAAUAAUUAUUUAAAAUCUAGUAACCGAAUAAAAGAAAACAAAUUACCACUUGUUCCUUUUUAUUCUCUUUAUGUUAAUGAAACAGGAUAUAAUAGUAACAGUCGUAACAACUGUAGCAAUCAAACCAAUAAUGAUAAUAAAAACAAUAACAAUUUGCAUGAUACUGUUGAUAGUAAUUAUAUAAAAAAUGGUAUUGCUUAUAUUGCAAAUCGUAGAGAUUGUAGCAGCAGUAGUACGACAUGUAAUAAAAGAUGUGACAAUAUAAGUAACAACAUUGUGAGCAAUUUGAACAGUAUGAACUACAGUUGCGAUAGACAUAUAAAUGAAUUAAAAUGUAAAUUAAAUAAUAAUGAUACCUCCUCUG